rnacentral:rRNA from 1 species
UGGGGAAUCUUGGACAAUGGGGGCAACCCUGAUCCAGCGACGCCGCGUGGGUGAAGAAGGCCUUAGGGUUGUAAACCCCUUUCACCGGGGAGGAUGAUGACGUUACCCGGAGAAGAAGCACCGGCUAACUCCGUGCCAGCAGCCGCGGUAAGACGGAGGGUGCUAGCGUUGUUCGGAAUCACUGGGCGUAAAGGGCGCGUAGGCGGCCUGGCCAGUCAGAUGUGAAAGCCCGGGGCUCAACCCCGGAACUGCAUUUGAUACUGCCAAGCUAGAGUUCGGAAGAGGAAAGUGGAAUACCCAGUGUAGAGGUGAAAUUCGUAGAUAUUGGGUGGAACACCGGUGGCGAAAGCGGCUUUCUGGUCCGACACUGACGCUGAGGCGCGAAAGCGUGGGGAGCAAACAGGAUUAGAUACCCCCGUAGUCC